UUAAAAAAAAAAAAGGGAGAUUAAACCAAAAGUAUUAUAAGCUUAUGGAAGUUUUAACUUGUUUGACUAUGUCUUGUAAAGUUCUAGAUAAAGCUGAUUAUGACAACUUUACAUCUAAAUGUCUCGACUAAAUCUUGUGCCAGCAGUCGCGGUAAGACAAGGGAGACUAGUGUUAUUCAUCUUUAUUAGGUAUAUAGGGUACCUAGACGGGUUAUUUGGCCUUAAUUGGUACUAAUAAUGCUUGAGUUUUAUGAGAGAGGUAUAUGUCAGAACUACUGGAGUAGAGAUGAAAUAUUUUGAUACCUUUAGGACGGGUAAUGGCGAAGGCAAACCUCUAUGUAAAAACUGACGUUGAGGGACGAAGGCUUGGAAUGUGAAAAGGAUUAGAUACCCUUGUAGCCCUUGCAGACAAUGAUGAGUGUCAUAGAUUAGAUAGAGUAGUAACAUUACUCGCGUAUUUGGACUAUAAAUGAAAGUGUAAGCACUCCACCUCAAGAGUAAUACGGCAACGUAGGAACUGAAAUCAUUAGACCGUUUCUGAAACCAGUAGUGAAGUAUGUUAUUUAAUUCGAUGAUCCUCGAAAAACCUUACCACAAUUUGAAUGCUUUAAUAUAAUGUAUCGUUAACAAGGUGUAUCAACUAUAGUUUCUAACUUUGCAUUAUUUAAACCACAUGCGUUGCAUGGCUGUCUACAGUUAAUGUCGUGAGAUCUGGUUUGUUCCAUUAAAUUAACGUAAACCCUUGUUUUAUUUAUUAGAAUAAUACAGUUCACCAACAUAAUGG
rnacentral:rRNA from 1 species